GCGUCGAGCGGAGAGAAGAGCUUGCUCUUCAUUCACGGCGGACGGGUGAGUAAUGCCUAGGAAUCUGCCUGGUAGUGGGGGACAACGUUUCGCGCUAAUACCGCAUACGUCCUACGGGAGAAAGCAGGGGACCUUCGGGCCUUGCGCUAUCAGAUGAGCCUAGGUCGGAUUAGCUAGUUGGUGAGGUAAUGGCUCACCAAGGCGACGAUCCGUAACUGGUCUGAGAGGAUGAUCAGUCACACUGGAACUGAGACACGGUCCAGACUCCUACGGGAGGCAGCAGUGGGGAAUAUUGGACAAUGGGCGAAAGCCUGAUCCAGCCAUGCCGCGUGUGUGAAGAAGGUCUUCGGAUUGUAAAGCACUUUAAGUUGGGAGGAAGGGCAGUAAGAUAAUACCUUGCUGUUUUGACGUUACCGACAGAAUAAGCACCGGCUAACUCUGUGCCAGCAGCCGCGGUAAUACAGAGGGUGCAAGCGUUAAUCGGAAUUACUGGGCGUAAAGCGCGCGUAGGUGGUUUGUUAAGUUGGAUGUGAAAGCCCCGGGCUCAACCUGGGAACUGCAUCCAAAACUGGCAAGCUAGAGUACGGUAGAGGGUGGUGGAAUUUCCUGUGUAGCGGUGAAAUGCGUAGAUAUAGGAAGGAACACCAGUGGCGAAGCGACCACCUGGACUGAUACUGACACUGAGUGCGAAAGCGUGGGAGCACAGGAUUAGAUACCCUGGUAGUCCACGCCGUAACGAUGUCAACUAGCCUUGGAAUCCUUGAGAUUUUAGUGGCGCAGCUACGCAUUAAGUUGACGCCUGGGGAGUACGCCGCAAGGUUAAAACUCAAAUGAAUUGACGGGGGCCCGCACAAGCGGUGGACAUGUGGUUUAUUCGAAGCAACGCGAAAACUUACCGCCUUGACUGCAAAUUUCUAAUGGCCUCGGGAACUCUGCGCUGCAGGUCGCCUCCGGGGAUCAGCAGCCCUGUGGUACUACAAGUCA
rnacentral:rRNA from 1 species